UUUUUCCCCCAGCGGUCGCUGAGGGAAAAAGAAUGGCUAUCUUGUUCAUUAACGACACCUGCUGAAUGAAGGAAGCAGGAAGAUGUGAUGAAAAGUUGACAACAUUGCACUCGCCACUCGUCCAUCCCUAUCCAUUUUCUACCGCUUGUCCCGUUCGGGGUUGCGUUGGGUGCUGGAGCAUAUCUCAGCUACAUUCGGGCGGAAGGCGGCGUACACCCUGGACAAAUCGCUACCUCAUGGCAGGGCCUUGCCAGUCGUCAUCAUGCCUAUGGUGCACACGGCCAGGAAGCACAAACAUCCACUUUUAAGGCGGCGAUCCGGGACUUCAAAGAUGACCUUCCCCAGCCCGGACAGGACGGCCAUCGAGACGACAAGUACGCCACCUCCAGGCGACCGUUUUGAUGAGGGGGCGAAGCAGCAGCAGCAGCAGCAGAAGAUGCUACAGAGUUUGGAGCUCAUGUGAUGAAUCCAAAAGAAGAGACAGAGGUGAUGGACUUGCACACACUCCCGUCAUUAUUUUUGAGUGGAAGCAUCCGACGGUCGGGGGCGGCCGGUGGGAGGAGGCAAGAGAGUCAGCAGCUGCGUCUUUGACAGGUGCAGGAGGAACGACGUAAGCUCUCCGCUCAUGUCUACGGAGACAUCAUUGGAUUAUUCGUCGUCCAGCAGCAGCUGUCAAAAAACGCAACUGUGAGAUUGGCUCCUCGGCUUCUCUCUGAGACACUGCGUGUUCACCGCGGCCAUCCGACCUCGAGAGGGAUAGACGCGGGCGUGCUAAACAUGCUAACUAGCAUGGGGAUACGUCGGCGGCUACAUCCAGCGGCCUGUGAAGCAGCGGAGUCCAGUAGCAGCGGGGGCCGUCUACGGAGCAGACGCCAGCGGUGUGAUCGGAAACGCGGAUGUCGAGCGGGGCUAAAAACAAAGCAGAGGGCUAAUCCCCACAGAACACCACUUCCCUCCACCCUGAAGACGGAUUUAAAUAAAGGAUGCGAGACUACUGGUCUGGGUAAGGAGUCUGUUAAAUUAGAACAAGUUUUUUCUGCUUCGAGUGUUUCAGAGUUGGACAUGUGUUUUACUGAGGUGGCUAACUAUGAUGCGUGCAGUUUAUCAAAGCAACAAACAAACAAUCGGAAAAUCCCCGUUACUGAGGAGGCUAACCAUGAUGCGUGCAGUUUAUCAAAGCAACAAUCAAACAAUCGGAACAUUCC